AGUGAACGCUGGCGGCAGGCCUAACACAUGCAAGUCGAGCGGCAGCGCGGGGGCAACCCUGGCGGCGAGCGGCGGACGGGUGAGGAAUUCGUCGGAAUCUGCCUUGUUGUGGGGGAUAACGUAGGGAAACUUACGCUAAUACCGCAUACGUCCUACGGGAGAAAGUGGGGGACCGCAAGGCCUCACGCAGAAAGAUGAGCCGACGACCGAUUAGCUAGUUGGUGGGGUAAAGGCCCACCAAGGCGACGAUCGGUAGCUGGUCUGAGAGGAUGAUCAGCCACACUGGGACUGAGACACGGCCCAGACUCCUACGGGAGGCAGCAGUGGGGAAUAUUGGACAAUGGGCGCAAGCCUGAUCCAGCCAUGCCGCGUGUGUGAAGAAGGCCUUCGGGUUGUAAAGCACUUUUGUCCGGAAAGAAAUCCCUGGAGCUAAUACCUUCGGGGGAUGACGGUACCGAAAGAAUAAGCACCGGCUAACUUCGUG
rnacentral:rRNA from 1 species